rnacentral:sRNA from 5 species
AACUGCAGCGCAGGACGCGCUCAGGGUCAUGGAUGACCGACCAUGUGCAAGGAUGCAGCGACAGGAUGUCGUAAUGGUCUUGAAGAAACCCCGCUUCGGCGGGGUUUU